GUUGGACGUUUCCUGAGGCCUCUCCAGUCAUGCUGAGCUAGGUACCUGGUGCCAGUUCCUGAGACUUGAGGAUUCUGGUUGGUUCUCAGCACAGGAGUCAGCCUGCUCUGAUUUGCUAGUGAUGUCCUAACCAAUCUCCCUGAAAAAUUAUCUGUGAAAUUUAUUUCUAUACAUCCAACAAGCACAAUGAACUCUAGGUAGAAUAAAUUCAGUGAGGUCCACAUCAAGAACAUUGUAAUCAAACUGUUGAAUGUCAAAGACAGAGAAUCUUGAAAGCAACAAGAAAGAAUCAACUAUCAUGUACAAGGGAACCUUAGUAAGAUGAACAGUUGGCUAUUUAUCAGGAACUAUGGAAGCCAGAAAACAGUGGGCAUAUUUAAAGUGCUGAAAGAAAAGAACCUAUCAACCAAGAAUUCUGUAUCUGGCAAAAUUGCCCUUCAAAAGUGAGGAAGAAAUUGAGAUAUUCCCAAUAAACAAAAGCUGAGGGGUUCACUACAAGUAGACCUGCCCUGCAAGAAAUGCUACAAGAUGUCCUCAAGUUGAAAUGAAAGGACACUAAAUGGUAACUUGAAGCUGUAUGAAGAAAUAAAGGUCUACAGUAAAGUGCGUCUAGAGUGUUGACAGUUGUUUCCAUGGACUUCAAAUCAACCCAACCCUGUGAGCACAGACUUUCAGCACCAGAGUCAGAUUUCCCAAAAAUGCUAUUCUUGAAGCGUAGAGCCAGACUCACAGAUCCUGUAAAGAAAACAGAUCUUUCAGCAAGUGAAACACCCAAUCUUCCAUUGCAUGGGACUCACAGAGGUUCUGAGGGAGAGAUGUGAAUAGAAGGAGUGAUCAUCACUGUGGACUCUAUUUCUUCCAUCUGUGCGUGCAAGAUUUAUAUCUGUAUGUGUUUGUUUUAAAGUUUUAUUGAGGUAUAAUUGAUACACAAUAAUCUGUACCUAUUUAAUGUAUACAAUUUGAUGAGUUUGGACAUACUUAAAUACCUGUGAAACCAUCACCACAAUCAAGGUAAUAGACAUAGCCAUCACCUCCAAAAGUUUCUUUGUGUCCCUUUGUGGUUUGUUUCUGAGAUAAGAACACUUAACAUGUGGACUCUUGACACUCUCCUUGGAUCUCUUAAUUUGAUUGCUGUUGCUGUCACCACAUUGACUUCCUAGCCCUGCUGAUCCUCCUUUAUCACUAGCUCUAGAAAAAAAAACAAACCAAACACCACUAAUUCAUUUAUUCAGUAAUUCAACAAAAAAACCAUUGAGCACUUAAUAUUUGCAGAAUACAUGGCUAGAUGCAGAGGAUUCAAAGAAUUGAGUGAAGUCACAUAAAGUGUUAAGAACAGUGUGUGAUACAAACAUGAAAUAUGUUAGCUGUUAGAAUUUCAAACUCACUUCCAUAUCAAUUAUAAUAAGGAUUUCCAUAAAUAGCAGAAUAGUAUUUCUAUUAGAUGCUCACAGAUGCUAAUAAAACAGUAGAAUGGUAAAAACCAUGCAUCCCCCAAGGCAAGAGAAGGUGAGCUAUUUUGCCUCGGUGGCUCAAUAUUCCAUCAAUGGGUCCUGCUUUAAACUGCAAGUACCUGCCUUCCUUCUUUCAACAGACUGACUCCACGUUGCUUUAGGAAAGAUUCACUGAAACAAAGGAAUAAACCACCCAAGAUAUAGUGUUUUUAAAAACAUUUUUUAAUGAAGAAAUUAUUCCACUCCAAAAUAUAGACACACAAUUAAAUAGUUUAAUCACUUCAAAAUAUAACAUGUCCCCAGGAGGUUCCAACACACACACACACACACACACACAAAACAAUACUUAACAGCAAUACAAAAAUCCAUACAAUAGUAUUUUUUUUUUACAAUACCAAUGAAUAUUGUGAAAUCUUUAGUGUCUCUGAAUUGAUUAUUUCAAAUGGUGUCAAAUUGCAGUAGUCAUAAUUAAAAAUGUCUUACAGUUAAUUCGCCUCAA
rnacentral:lncRNA from 1 species